GCCGGGCGCGGUGGCUCACGCCUGUCAUCCCAGCACUUUGGGAGGCUGAGGUGGGUGGAUCACCUGAGGUCAGGAGUUCAAGACCAGCCUGGCCAACAUGGUGAAACCCCAUCUCUA
rnacentral:SRP_RNA from 2 species